rnacentral:rRNA from 1 species
AUUGAACGCUGGCGGCAUGCCUUACACAUGCAAGUCGAACGGCAGCACGGACUUCGGUCUGGUGGCGAGUGGCGAACGGGUGAGUAAUGUAUCGGAACGUACCUUUCAGUGGGGGGAUAACGUAGCGAAAGUUACGCUAAUACCGCAUAUUCUGUGAGCAGGAAAGCAGGGGAUCGCAAGACCUUGCGCUGAUUGAGCGGCCGAUAUCAGAUUAGCUAGUUGGUGAGGUAAAGGCUCACCAAGGCGACGAUCUGUAGCGGGUCUGAGAGGAUGAUCCGCCACACUGGAACUGAGACACGGUCCAGACUCCUACGGGAGGCAGCAGUGGGGAAUUUUGGACAAUGGGGGCAACCCUGAUCCAGCCAUGCCGCGUGAGUGAAGAAGGCCUGGUGUAAG